CGGCCUUUGGUGCAGCUGUAAGUCGGAUGGAAUCCACCUUCCUGACGUCAGACCCACCCACUGGAACACUGCUCCUCUGACUGGGGCUUCCCUGAAUGGAAACUACAUGUCAUACUGCAAAAGACAGGGUCUCACUAUGUUGCCCAGGCUGGUCUCAAAUUCCUUCUCAAGUGAUCCUCCCACCUCAACCUCCCAAAGUGCUGGGAUUGCAGGCAUGAGCCACUGCACCCAGCAGAAAUUCUUAACGAGGCAAGGCCAACAGAGGCCAUUCAUUCAACAUCACGGCACCAUAGUGGCCUCUUUUUAAGACUCCUCAGGCAAGUAGAACUUAUUUGUCUCAAAGACAUUGUAUCAUGAACCCAAUGUCUAAACUUUCACAUGUGUGUUUUGAAGGAUGUUUUUAAGGAAAGAAAAAUUUCUGUUGUAUAAAUUAUUAAAAUAAAAGUUGCUGUGGUGAUCUUUA
ensembl:lncRNA LINC01828 long intergenic non-protein coding RNA 1828